rnacentral:rRNA from 1 species
UACGGAGGAUGCAAGCGUUAUCUGGAUUUAUUGGGUUUAAAGGGUGCGCAGGCGGGAGAUUAAGUCGGCGGUGAAAUUUUGCAGCUCAACUGUAAAAGUGCCUUCGAAACUGGUUUCCUUGAGUGUAGAUGAAGUAGGCGGAAUUUGUGGUGUAGCGGUGAAAUGCAUAGAUAUCACGAGGAACCCCGAUUGCGCAGGCAGCUUACUAAACUACUACUGACGCUCAGGCACGAAGGCGUGGGGAUCAAACAGGAUUAGAUACCCCU